rnacentral:lncRNA from 1 species
AUUCAAAUAAAAAUGUAUGUAGUAAUAUUAUAUGACGAUGUAAAAGCGACCUCUUGUGGUGAAGGGUCUCUUAUGUUUACACAAAGCAGGUGGAGACGAAAAAAUAGCCGCAAAUUAUAGGUUUAGCUUUUUAAUUUUUUUUAAUUAUGUUGUUUUUAUUCCACUGUCAUGAAUAACGUGUUUUGUUUUGUUUGUUUUGUUUGUUGUUGUUUUUUUUAAUUUCCAGAUCUUACCCUCCAGGUGGCGCUGUCCACAGAGUCCCUCUUGGGACGGCUGCGUCAAGGUCGAUCUACGUAGUUGUACAAGACAGGAAGACCGAGUAGACUACUUUGCCCAAAAAAGGUAUUUCCGGAGACGCUUAUCAAUGCCAAAAUUACAAACUACUUUUAAUAAUGGGCAAAAAGUACAAAUUGAAAUGAAUACAGUACAGCAUACACAGAAAGAUAGUGAUGGGUUUAUAUACAAUAUAACAGGUUGUUAUGAAAUAGUAUCUGAACUUUGUUUUGAAAGGUAUGACCGGAUACAAUUUAUGGCAGACAUGGCUUGACAAAAUCUGUGGAACGAUACUGCGAUUAUAAGAAGUGGAUUUGAAGACUCGCUCAGUCAGUGGUAAUUACAGUGGUCAUGUUGGUCAAAUUUUAUUUUGUUUUAUUUAAGUGUUUAUUUAUUUUACUGCUGGACUUCGAACAUUGACCGAAACUCUUGCAGUUCGAGCUGUAUUCGACUCCACACUGGACUGUCAUCCGCACAGUGACACUUGUUGUACCUUUGACCGAAAUACAAAGUGUCUUCUUAGUAUACCUGUUGGCUGCUUAUUUUGGGCCAGGAGAGAAACGUUAGAAAAAUCCAAGUGCGCUAUUGGAACGUUUUAUUUGCUCAGUCGCAGGUGAUGGUACAACUGGGAUCCGCCGUGUGCGAGCAACGUUGGAUUUGGGGAGCCCACUUUGAGUGACAUCAUCAGAGCUUCCACAUCGUAAUCACGGCAAUGUCUUCCAAACCACCCACAGGUAAGAGGAUGAAGGCACAAGCCCCUUCUCCUCCGCAAGCUCCUCAACCUGCUCCACGCAACAUCUUCAGAACCCCUGUACCCGAGGGAGGGAAACCGGCAACAGAUGCCAAAGAGAACAUGUUUAGGUCCUCGGUGGAUUUGCAGGUCACGCUACCGCAGGGAUACCAGACAUCUGUAACCGAGGAUGGCAGGUGAGGUGACGCACACAAGGUUGUGAUUAUUCAUUUAUUCUUGUGAUUACUUCACUGACAGUUAGCAGUAUGAGAACAGUUUGUCUGUUUUGGGUUGCUAUGCCAGAGGGGCCUUUUCAAGGGGGUACCAUCUAAGUCUUUGUCCCAGAGAGCUGGAGAAAAAAGUAGAUGAUGUCUAACCAGUCGAUACUGUCUGUCCCUAACGAUCUGUCCUGAGUGUAAGAAUUAGAGAGAAUAAAGAAAUGAAUAAACUUAGAUGGGCAUUGGUAGCUCAGGGUUUGAGCUGAGAAGCGGAGAGUUCUCGGUUUGAGCCCCCGUGUGGAUAAAACAUGGAAGGAGUUUUGGUAGUAGAGGAAGGUGCCAGAACACUUUCGGAGCAAUGCCGAGGUAACCUUGAGCAAGGUACUGAACCCAUAAAUGCUCACAGAGGGCCGUACGAUUUACUGGCAACUCAUCCAAGGGGGGAACCAGCCUUUGCCCAUAUAUGCACCCUCUCCAUGACCUGGAAAUGGAUAAAGGGGUCAAGAAGAUGAGAUGAGAGGUGAGACAUUAUGUAGUCCAGCUGGUGCCCUUUUUCUGUAAGUCUAAAAAUAAGUAUUUCAUCUGCAAAGUAAGGACAAUUGUGGAAAGUCAGGAUGUUUAGCUGGUCCUUAUAGGUAAGGGGUUGUAACUGGGUUUGGUAAAGGUUCAGAUAAUUUAUUCCCUAAUGCUGGUGACAUAGGGGGGGGGGGGGUCAUAUUGGAUGUGAUUGUGUUAAAUAAAUGGGAGAAGAAUGCAAUUAAUAAAUGCAUGUAUAUGCAGUGAAAGAUGGCGACUGAGUAUUGCUGUUUCACUGGUAGAGUUUGUUCAUCUGUUAGUGAUUGACUGUCAUAUCUUUUGGAGUGGUGUCUCUCCCUCAGUUCAGUCAUCUGAUCUGGCUGUUCCCAGAAAAACACUCUCUCUAGGUUUCUUUAUGUGAGGAUUGAUGGGUAGUACUGUAGGCCUCCCCAUUACCCCCCCGCCCCAUACCUCUACUUAUGCACACAAAGACACACAUAGAUCUACACAUUUAACAAAGCAGUCAUUAUUCUGCUGUCACAAUCACUUCAUCUAGAGCAGAGUAUAUGUCAUACAGUAAUCUUCCCCUCAACCAUCAGCAUGCUGAUGUCUCUGUCGUUGCUUAGGUUACACACAUAGAAUAGUAGGAAAAUUCAUCGAAAUGUUUUACAGAUUUUAAAUCUUGAACAGAAUCAACUACCG